UAUCUGCAAUUACAUUCUGGUGGCUGAGAUGCAAAAAUGGGUAUCAAGUGUAGUUUCUUCCAUUUGUAUGCUGGACGGAGAUCGAACCUCUAUGUAGCAGCAUGCACUGUUCAGCUCUGAACUCUGAAGUGAACUUUCUUGCAUAUGAUUGUCUUCCAUGUUGUAUCAGCAUGGUGGGAUUUGGACAUCAGAUUUUGUGCCUGUGUGCGUUUGUUAAAUUUCUACCUAGUUCCGAGCUUAGUGUUUGGAAUCUUAAUUCGCUUAGUUGUGACUGAUGAAUGUUUGAAUUAAUGAAACUGCCUAUUGCUUUCUUUGCGAUGUUGCAUUUCUACCGAGAUUGGUAUCACUUGCUUGUUGCAUUUCUACCUAGAUUGAUUAUCUUUCGUCUUGCAGACUUUAUACUAGGAGUAGUAUUUAGCAAAGCUGUGAGUAGCCGCCUGCGAAUUCGUACCUACAGACAGCCUAUAGGACAUUAGCUCAAGUGCCGCCGUUGCGUUUCUCAUUGUUCCAAGGUUAUCUGUUUUCUACUGACAAUAGCUCAAAUAUAUGACUUUAAUGCAACUCACCGCAUUAUCCAGAGCUCUGCUGUCUCCGCGCUGGAGAAGGCCACUGAUGCCUACCUCGUCCGCCUCUUUGAGGACACAAACCUCUGUGCCAUCCAUGCCAAGCGCGUCACCAUCAUGCCCAAGGGCAACCUGCUUGCCCGCCGCAUCUCUGGCGAGAGAGCCUAGGUUGCUUCCCGCCUCGAUGGUGUCUGAUCUGGAGGUCUAGACUAGCAGUGUGUUAGUUUCUUCUUAUUAGCCUGUGGUGGUAAAGUCCUAGUUUGUCGUGGCCAUCUUGUUAUGAUCAUCAAUCGGAAGAGAUUGAAUUGGACUGAAUCAUAUGUACGCCAUUCAUGUUCAUCAGAUCCUAAUCAAUUGCUAAAUAAGUCUUUGCUGAUACUCCUUAAGCCCAGUCGCUCUGUCAACUUAAUUCCCUACAUGUCUUGUCCUCUACCAAAUUCUGUUAAUUCACUACAUGUCGUGUCCUCUACCAAAUUCUACUGUAACCCCACUAACAAAUUUCAAAUGCUUGGCACACAUUCUGUUGGAAAAAAUUGUUUUGAAAUGACAGAACGCACUGAGAACUCCAUUGUCCUCUGUAACACUAUGCUCCCUACUUUUAAAGAGCCCACAUUCAAUUGAGGUUAACAAUUGAGAUUGAGUCACCUGAUUUUGACAAGGUCAACAAUUUUUCAAAGCUAUCUCAUUUAAUUCUUUUUAUAUUAUACACCACGCUUCCUAAUUUUUAAGGUCUCAGAAUUAAUUGAGGUCUUCAAUGGUUCAGCCCGAUUUUGACCGGGUCAACAUGUUUUCAAGGGCCCUCCCAUUCAAUUAUUUUAAUUCUCUCUGUUCGCGUUUUGAUGCUCUUUUUUUUUUUGAGACAAUCUUGUGAAGUUUUUAUUUCCGUUUAUGGGUCCCGAUAACUGCCACACGUGUGGUGUAUCGGGUAGUUGUGCCACACGCCUCGUGUGGCAUGGACAGCAACCAGCCCACACACCUACGUGUGGGCAAAACAACUAAUGCCCACACACAUCUUUUUUUCCCUCCUGAAUCCUCUCACACGCGUGCGUGUGGGCGAAGUUGAUAACGAUCACACGCCCGUAUGUCAGGCCUCGUACCCUUCUGGUCCCGCACGCGACGCGUGACGCCCACCGCGUGCCCGCAGUUGCCAUGGUCCAGACCCUCGUCCAUGUUCGUUUAUCUGCAGUUGCCAUGUCGCUGAACUACGGUUGCCAUGUCGGACAACUGCAGUUGCCAUGGUUGCUCAACUGCAGUUGCCAUUUAUGGUCUGAUCUAAUGUAGUUGUCGUGAUUUCAUAACUUUAGGAGUUGCCACAUACUAACACUAGGCAGUUGAGAGAGUUGCCAUGUGCUCACAAGCAUGCUAGGGCAGUUGCCUUGUAAAAAGGAAGAGUUGCCAUCUGCUUACGUGCACGUUAGGGCAGUUGCCAUGUACGUGCACGUUGGGGCCGUUGCCAUGUACCAUGCAAAAACACAUGGCAACUCGGUAAAAGAUAGUUGCCAUCUGCUUACGUGCACACUAGGCAGUUGCCGUGUACCCUGCAAAAACACAUGGCAACUCGGGUAAAAAAAGAGAGUUGCCACCUGCUUAUAAAGCACAAUAGAGGCAGUUGCCAUGUGCGCUGCAAAAACACAUGGCAACUAGCAGCUUACAUGUGGGAGAGGAGACGGGCGUGUGGGCGAGAUAGCAAAUGCCCACACACCAGCCCUUGUGCUUGACUGAAAACUGGUGUGUGGGUGAACUGCUAAACGCCGACACACCGGCCCCUCCGUGUGGUAAAACGGAUGUGUGGGCGAACUAUGUCACACACCACACACACGCCUUGUCCUACGUGGCACAGAAAAUCAGCGAGAUUAUGUCAUGAUUUGUGCAUAUAGUACUGGACGGUGAUGGAUGCGUGUGGUCGAGAUGGUCAACGCUCACACGUGUGGGCGUUAACAUUUCCGUUUAUUUAACUCGUUUAGACGAUGUGUUCAACAGGUAGUUUGUUGAUAGUUUGCUUUUUCUUUCCUGGCAAUUGCCAUCACAAUGGUAGCCAGCUUCUUCAGGACGAUACACAGACGAAAUACGUAGGGGUGGACUCUGGCGUGUGAACCUUGUCACGGAUGAUUCAGGUCGAAACCAAAACAUAUAUAUAUAUAUAGACACACACACACACACAAUAUAGCUAGUAAUACUUAAUUACUUACCUUGGGUCGAAACCAAAACAUCUUUUAUCGCCAUUUGCCUGGAGUCACCAUGAUGAAUUUUGCCCAAGCCCUGCCCGCCAGCAAAGAAAAUGAAUAAAGGGGUUAUUAAAUAGUUGAUAUCAGAAAAUGACGAACUAAUUAAAUAGGCCGAGAUAUAGUUAAUAAUGAUUGAAAUUACCUGCCGACUAUCCCUUCACGAUGGCGAAGUCACUUUCUUCCUUAAGUAUUGAUUCCAGUACUUCAACUAUUCCUUUAUCAACUUUAAUGACUAAAAAGAUCUAGUGGAAACUACAUGCACACACAUUUGCAUGUCUUAAUUAAGCGGUCAUGUGCACAACACUAAUCAACUAGCCUAAACCCUAUACACUUAAUUAUUAACAUCUAGCUAGCUAGUAAGCAAAAACAGAAUUUGUGGUACAAGACAGUGUGACUCACAGGAAGUUGUAAGGAAGUGGUAUAUCUUCAUUGCUAUUUAGGUGCUUGAAGAACUCUAGCAUUCUUUCCUCUAAACUUGCUCGACAAUUUGGAAUAUUCCAUGUGUACUCAUUAACGAUAUUUGGGUCAAUGAACCCAAUGCCAUAGUGUCUAAUUUUUUUCAUUUCAUACAUCUUCAUCCUGCAUAAUGCCACAAAAAAGAAUAUAGUGAGGAUAAUUAUAGGUAAUGAUUGAUCAAAAUGAUCACUACAGCUAGCUUGAGACUUAAAUUACAGAAAGAAAUCACUUACAGACAAUAGCCACUGACGAGAGAUUUGUCGAGUGUGUCUUGAUUGUAUAACUGAAAUAGUUUUGAAUACUCAACGGACAAAGCUUUCUCAUGGAAGUAAUGCUCCUCCUUGACAUUCACCAUGAGGGACUCCCGAUUGGAAAUCUUGAUAAUGUUCAUGUACCACCGAUGCAAUUCAUACAUUCUCGUUUGGAGGUUCUUGACCUCCUCGGGCUUGACCAAAGGUUCGCCCCGGACAUAUUUCCGUUUUAUUUCCUCCUCUCUAAGAGGAGACAUGGUCUCGAUCUCGAGGAGUUGUCCAACACUGAUAUUGAGCAUUUUAGCAUUCCUUAUAUGCUCCUUGGUUAUUACCAGAUUGUUCAGCUGGGGAACGGUUUGCCCACAAUAAUAUAGGGCGCGCGUACUCUCAUUUGUUGUUGGCACAACAAGCGGGGGGAUCGAUUGCGCCGCCUGUUCUCCCAGUUGGGGAACGGUUUUCUCGCACUUUUGCCAGCUGCUUGUUGGCUCGAGCUCGAGCUCGCUUCCUUCUGUAGUCGUGCUCGAUAUGCCUUCCUGAUUUGGCGCUCAUAGUCUGAGUCAACAGGCUUGGGAGCUGGUAGUCUAUCCAUACGAAUGAAGUGGUCAAUCUUUUCCUCAGGCACUUUCUCUCUUGGCGGCGGUGCUGGUUUCGGUCCAAAAUGGGCGUCCACUUGAGCCUUCACUAUGGCUUCCUUUUGCUCCUCGGUCAUGUCGUAAGGCCUCUGAGGAAGAGGAGCGAGACUGCUUGGACCAUAUAUAUAUCGCUUGCCUCUGCAUGUACCUCCUGUACUACCUCGACUUGUACCGCUACGCACCAUAGCCGCGGCGUGUCUCUUCUGUGAUUGCUGAGGCGGCGGAGACGGCUGACGUGGCUGAGUUGGAGCAGGAGUCUGCUCAUGCAUUGGUGGACUUGGAGGAGCGGGAGUCUGCUGACACGGUGGCGGACUUCAAGGAGGAGUCGGCUCACACGUUCGUGGACUUGGAGGAGCGGGAGUCUGCAGACACGGUGGCAGACUUCGAGGAGGAGUCGGGUCAUGCGUUCGUGGACUUCGAGGAGCAGGAGUCCCCUGAUUUGGUGGCGGACUUCGAGGAGGAGUCGGCUCACACGGUGUCGGCGGCCUUCGAAAGAUGAUGCAAUCCUUUCUCCAUAAGAUGAUACGAUGUAUGGCCUCUCCCAGUGUGUGCUCGUCGUCACCUCCACGAAUGUCAAGCUCUAGCCCCGAAUAUUGGUCCACCACCUCAUCAACCAAGACACGAGCAUAGCCCGCUGGAAUCGGGGUGCAAUGGAAGGUUGCUUCGGGGGUAUUUGUAAAAGCAAGGGCGUUCGCCACCUUCAUGGAUAUGUUCUUCAUUUUGAAGUGUAGCUCAUAGUUAGUGUUCUUUGUGAUGUCAUCCACAGGGUAUGUAUCCAGCAGUGCGUUGCCCGGGGCGGAAUCAACGCUGCUUCUCGGCAUGGAUGGGAUGGUGCUAUCCAAUGCUGGACGAUCAUCCGCUUGCUACUACCGCUGCUGAGACCCCCUUUCCUGGCUAAGUGAGUCGAUCCGCUGCUGCAGCUGCUGCUGGAAUUUGAGUCCCAAGUCCGCGUGCCUUGCUUCUAGUCCUUGAAGGUGUUCUGCGUCCUGCUUCCUAUGCUCCUCCUCUAGCUUCCUAUUCUUCUCCUCCUCCAUCUUCUUUCUUGCACGGGUCCUGUAGUCGUUGUUCCAUUCCGAAAAGCCCUCAUACCAGGGAAUAACACCCUUGCCUCGCGUUCUUCCCGGGUGUUCAGGCUUUCCCAAGGCGCACGUAAGCUCAUCAUUCUCUCUGUUGGGUGUGAACACUCCCUUUCGAGCAUCUUCUAUUGCAUCAAGUAACUUUUGUUUGGCUCCUUUUAGACUUGCCUUCUUCGAAACCAGGCCUCUCUUCGGGUCCAACGCCCCCCAUGCGCAUAGAACCAAGUUCUGCACCUGGGGGGCCAGCUCCUAGUAACUGGAGUGACCCCUGCAUCCACCAUAUCUUGCUCAGACUUAUCCCACUUAGGCAUUGCCACCGCGUAGCCACCUGGCCCCAGCCUAUGGAACUGCGUCUUUUUGCCGGCAUUGGCCUUGUUUUUUCUCGACCGUUCCUUAGAUAAUUCUGAUUCCUUGAAUUUCACAAAAGCGGGCAAGUGUUCUCUUUGCUUCUCCAAUGUUCCCUUGAAUUCUAGAGUCUUCCUUUCUGCAGCGAGGUAGUUGGCCCAUACAGUUUUCUCGUGGGUGUUGAAUGCAAUUGCCAUCUUAUUAAGAGCAGCAUCCUUGACUUUCUGCACAUCUGCAUCAGUGAAAUAAUCUGGUAGGGUAAAAUGUUCCAUCAGAGAUUCCCAAAGCUUUUGUUUUGCUCUGUCGUCGACCCAAGUAACAUCUGGACGUUUAGUUUUUGGUUCUUUCCAUUCUUGAAUGGAGAUCGGGAGUUGGUCCUUCACAAGAACUCCGCACUAACGAACGAAAUUGUUCGCAAUGUUCUUAGGCGUGAGGGGUUCGCCACUAGCUUUGAUGGAAUCGAUGUUGUACUUUACACCCUCCUUCAACUUUUUGCCCGGGCCUCGCUUUGUCCUGCUGUCUGUAGAAGCAGAUUUUGCUCGAUCCGGAGGGCUGAAAGAAGAAAGAUCGAUUCGUUAAUAUAUCUUCAAAUAAAAAAAACAUGUGAUGAUCACUAGAUGCAUGCUAAUAUAAAUAUACCUUGCCGGUAGUCUUUGUUAUUUCAAGAUCAACAUUGUCUGUGUCAUCAUAAUGAUUGUCUGCAUCAUCAUAAUCAUAAUCAUAGUUCAUGACUUCAUCAGCUCGGUCGUCGAGAUCGAAUAUCUUAUUAUCACCCUCCCCGGUAUUGUUCAGAUAUUGGGAGCCGUCAUCUUCUUCAUUCAAAUCAUCUGGCCUGGUAGGGCUGCGUAUGAUCUCGAACAGGGCAUCUUCUCCCUCUCUGCCGGUAUUGUCCGCCGUAGCUUUUACUUAACUAAUACAGAAGAAAUAUACAACAAUUUAGUAUUCAAAUUACAAUGCAUGGAUGCAAUCAAUAAGAAAAAACUGAAUCAUAUAGUACAUAAUAUGCACCGUCUCGAAUAAUAUAUAAUCUCGAAUACAUCAUCUCGAAUAAUAUAAAAUCUCAAGUACAUCGUCACUAAUAAUAUAUAUAAUUUCGAAUACAUCGUCUCGAAUAUUAUAUAUCGAAUACAUCACUGGCUAGGUACCUAAUAAAGAUCGAAUACUACAGAAGAAUCUAGGCCACUCGCGAUUCCUGGGGCGUGGGCGGUGGACACCCAAAGAGAAGGAACCAUUACAGGAUCAUAUCUCCGGUCAUUUGCCCAAAGAACCUGCCAGCUAUUGGAGAACCUGAUGUCCAUAGGAGCCAUGUAGCGAUGGACGUGCUCGUCCUCCUCCCUUACACAGCGACGCACCACCUCCGGCAAGGCCGGCUCCCUCUGCACCGAAUGUGGCCCACGCGAACGCCAUCAAAGGAGAUCAGGGUCGAUGACGGGACCCGAGGCCGGGUUCCUCACCAAGAGGCGCGCCCCAACAGGUAGCACCUCCCAGUGCCAGCCCGGCGGAGCCCAAUCCCGGACAUGAGUCAGCCGGACGUCGUCGCGAACGGGUCGACGGCGAGGAUGCGGGCCGGGCAUCGUCGAGAACAAAUACUAUAUGCCAACAAAAAGUAACAUUUUUAAAUGAUUGGAUUGUGAUAAGUAAAAUUCUAUAUGCAAAUUCUAAAUUUUUCUAUAACUAAAAUUAUAAGAAACUAAAAAAACAUCGAUCAUGAUCUAACAAUUUGACAUUAAUCUAAUUCAUCUAGCUAAAACUAAUUCUAAAAUUUCUAACAUUUCUAUAUAUAUAACUAACAUUUCUAAUAUUUCUAUCACUAAAAAACAGAAAAAUUGCUAACAUUUCUAUAACUAAAAAACAUAAAAAUUUAUAACAUUUCUAUAUAACUAACAUUUCUAUAAUAUUUCUAAUAUUUCUAUAACUAAAAAACAGAAAAAUUUCUAUAACUAAAAUUUAUAACUAGAAAACUAAAAAACAAUGUGUGUGUGUGUGUAUGUGUGUGUGGACAUGGCGGCUGGGGCAGGAGCUCACCGGCAAGGCGCGGCGACAGGGGGCGGCGACGGGGACGGCGACGGGCGGUGACGACGGGGAUGGGGACAGGGCGGCGACGAAGGUGACGGGGACGGGCCGGGCGGGGACGACGGGACGACGGGGCAGGGACGGCGACGGACGGUGGGGAUGGCGAUGGACGGCGGGGACGGUGGGGGACGGCGUGGACGGGGACGGCCAGGGCGGCGGCGGCGACGGGGACGGCGACGGCCGGGGCGGGGGCGGCGACGGGGCAGAGGAGAAAGAAGCAGAGGGAGAGAUGAGAAACUGGAUUUUUUUGAAGUGCUUUCUUAUAUAGAUCACCCCUUUAGUACCGGUUGGAGCCACCAACCGGUACUAAAGGUCUGUUUUGGCCAGGUCAAGCGGCGGGAAGCGCCCCACUUUAGUACCGGGUCGUGGCAGGCACCCCCCUUUAGUACCGGUUGGAGCCACGACCCGGUACUAAAGGGGUUGCGCUGCCAGGCGAGGGGCGCAGAAGUUUAGUCCCACCUCGCUAGUUGAGGAGCACCAAGACCAGUUUAUAAGCCCCGGCAUGGGCACUGCAUUGAGCCCCUCUCAAAAGCAGGCCUUCCGGGCCUACCUCUCCUACUCUGCCUGAGGGCCUACUGGGCUUGCAGGCCUGUGUCCUUGCCCAACUACAGGUUGGGUUUCUAGUCGUAUGCAGGCCGCACUGUCCCAGUAGGUGGGCUCUUUUAUUUUCUUAUUUUUUUAUGCUUUAUUUAUUUUUGGUUUAUUUAUUUUUGAGUUGUUUUUGCUGUAUUUAGAGUUUCUUUGUGAAUAUUUUUGCUUUACGUAUAAAAAAUUACAAACUUUCUGAUAGUGUCGGUAGUUUUCAAAUUUGAAUAGUUUAAAUUUUGAAUUAUUUGAAAUUUGUGUGAAUCACUAGUUUGUGAAUAACUUAACUUUGAAAAUAGAUUUUUCAGUGAUUCUUUUUUCUUAUGUUUAAUAUUAGUGUGUUUUAUAACUAUAUUUAAUUUGGUAAUGCUUAGGUUAUUUAAAAAAUGAAAUGCCUUUGUAAUAGAUGACUUUUCGUCUGAAACCCUGAUACUUCGAAAGAGAUUGUCCAUUUUGUACAUGAAGUGCAUCCAAUUUUUGCGGUAACCCUCUCUACUUUUUUGCACAUGCUAUGUGUGGGAAAUUAUGAUACCAUGCCAACUUUCAACCUUUUCUGAGUUUGUUUGCACAUAAAUUUUUUCGCGUUUCAAAUGCCAAAACACAUAACUACCCUAACUAUUAUAGAGAUUCCCUCCUGGGUGUGAAACAUAGAAGAAAGUGAUGAUAGUGAAGCCGAUCACAUCCCAUAUCUUUGGGUGUGAAACUUUUUCUUCCCAUGUGUCCCUUUGCGCCGUAGCCAUGAAAAAUCUUCAUCAUUUAACUAGAUGCUCGGGUCAAUAUUCACUGUGAAUGGAGCAAUUUCAUCAAACGUUUCAUAAUCUUCUGACAUGUCUGUCUUCUCAUCCACUCCCACGAUGUUUUUCUUCCCAGAAAGAACUAUGUGGCACUUUGGCUCAUCAUAUGAUGCAUUCGCUUCCUUAUCUUUUAUUUUUCUCGGCUUGGUAGACAUGUCCUUCACAUAGAAAACCUGUGCCACAUCAUUAGCUAGGACGAAUGGUUCGUGUGCAUACGCAAGAUUGUUGAGAUCCACUAUUGUCAUUCUGUACUGCGGGUCUUCCGUUACCCCGCCUCGUGUCAUAUUGACCCAUUUGCACCGAAACAAAGGGACCUUCAAACCACGUCCAUAGUCAAGUUCCCAUAUGUCCUCUAUGUAACCAUAAUAUGUUUCCUUUCCCGUCUUGGUUGUUGCAUCAAAGCGGACACCACUGUUUUGGUUGGUGCUCUUCUUAUCUUGGGCGAUCGUGUUAAAUGUAUUACCAUUUAUCUCGUACCCUUUGAAAGUCAUUAUAUUCGAAGAUGGUAACUGGGACAGCGAGUACAGGUCAUCUUCAAUAGAGGCGUCUUGCAUGGUACGUGUCUGCAACCAGCCGGCGAAACUCCUAGUUUGUUCACGUGUAAUCCAGUCAUUAGACCGCUUCGGGUGUUUGUAGCAUAGAAAAUUCUUGUGUUCGUCCAUAUACGGAGCCACCAAGGCAGAAUUCUAUAGAACUGUGUAGUGUGCUUUAGUGAGAGAAUGUCCGUCCAUACAUAUUAUUUGAUUCCCUUCUAGUGUGCCUUUUCCAUCAAGUAUGCCCUUAUGCCACGAUUCAGGAACACCAAUCGGCUUAAGGUCAGGAAUAAAGACAAUACAAAACUCAAUGACCUCCUCAUUUUCAUGGCCCUUGGAGAUGCUUCCUUCUGGCCUAGCACGGUUAUGAACAUAUUUAUUUAAGACACCCAUGAAACUCUCAAAGGGGAACAUAUUGUGUAGAAAUACGGGACCCAAAAUGAUAAUCUCUUCACAUAGGUGAACUAGGACAUGCGUCAUGAUGUUGAAGAAGGAUGGUGGGAACGCCAACUCGAAACUAACAAGACAUUGCACCAAAUCAUUCUCUAACCUUGUUCUGAUUUCUGAAUCGAUUACCUUCUGAGAGAUUGCAUUGAGGAAUGCACAUAGCUUCACAAUGGUUAAUCAAACGUUAUGCGGUAGAAGCCCCCUCAAUGCAACCGGAAGCAGUUGCGUCAUAAUCACGUGGCAGUCAUGAGACUUUAGAAUCUGAAACUUUUUCACUGCCAUGUUUAUUAUUCCCUUUAUAUUCGACGAGAAGCCAGACGGUACCUUAAUACUGAGCAGGCAUUCAAAGAAGAUUUCCUUCUCUUCUUUGGUAAGAGCGUAGCAGUCAUGACCCUGAUGUAUGCCAUCUUUUCCGUGCAUACGUUGCUGGUCCUCCCGUGCCUCAGGUGUAUCUUUUGUCUUCCUAUACACGCCCAAGAAGCCAAGGAGGGCCACACAAAGAUUCUUCGUUACGUGCAUCACGUCGAUUGCGGAGCGGACCUCUAGGUCUUUCCAAUAGGGUAGGUCCCAAAAUAUAGAUUUCUUAUUCCACAUGGGUGCGCGUCCGUCAGCGUCAUUCGGAACAGGUUGUCCGCCAGGACCCUUUCCAGAGACUACCUUCAAAUCCUUGACCAUAUCAUGUACAUCAGCACUAGUAUGGUGGCAAGGCUUCGUCCGAUGAUCCGCCUCACCUUUGAAAUGCUUGCCUUUCUUUCUUAUGGGAUGCCUGCUCGGAAGAAAUCGACGAUGUCCCAGGUACACAUGCUUCCUACAAUUGUCCAAAUAUAAAAAAUUCAUGAACAAGAGGCUCACCGCAAGGUGGUGCCGGCGACGGGACGGUGCGGGCGAUCGACGACGGUUACGACGGAGAUUUAAAAGGCAGUAAGUAAACCACACCUACAUAUGCAAACUAAGUGUUAUUUUUGACCUCAAAUUGCAUAUAAAUCAAAUACUAGCAUAUAUAAUUCCUCCUAAAUUACUAAACUCACAAAUUAAUCACUAUAUAAAGCAUUGCAAGAGCUAAUCUAGCAAUGAGAGAUGAAAGGACAAAGUUGCUAACCUUUGUGAUCAUUUGAAUGGAUGGGGGCCUUCAAAUCUUGACAAACUUUGGGCAAAAUGUGUGAUGAGCUCGAGAGGAAGAGGGGAAGAACAGAGAGGAGAGGGAAAAGGGGAAGAACAGAGCGAGCUCGGGUGGACGAAGGGUUUAUGUAGGUCGACCUUUAGUACCGGUUCAGCAUGGUGGGAUUUGGACAUCAGAUUUUGUGCCUGUGUGCAUUUGUUAAAUUUCUACCUAGUUCCGAGCUUAGUGUUUGGAAUCUUAAUUCGCUUAGUUGUGAC
rnacentral:lncRNA from 1 species